rnacentral:lncRNA from 1 species
AUGAUGUUAUGCUCUGAGAUUUUGUUUUCACCUUCUUUUGCAAAUGUUAAGUGGAUGAAUACUAUUCUUUUGUAGGUUAUUGGAGUGGUUGUAGCUGACACACAUGAAAAUGCAAAACUUGCUGCUAGAAAGGUUCAUGUUGAGUAUGAAGAUCUACCUGCAGUUUUAUCAAUAGAGGAUGCUAUACAGGCUAACAGUUAUCAUCCUAAUACGGCAAGGUGUCUGACAAAAGGAGACGUCGAACAGUGUUUCCAAUCAGGACAAUGUGACAAUAUUAUAGAAGGAGAAGUUAGGGUAGGUGGUCAGGAACAUUUUUAUUUGGAGCCUCAAGGGACUUUAAUAUGGACAGUGGAUAGUGGCAACGAGGUGCACAUGAUCUCAUCCACCCAGGUACUUCAACUUAAUUCUAGUAAUUCUCUUUUGGUUUCUCAAAUAUAUCUAGAUUUAUAGGACAUUUGUUGUGGUGUUGGGCUCUUUAUUUCCCCCCCAUAACACCUGUACUUUGCAAGUUUAGAUGUAAGUGUUAAUAAUCUUUUCAAUAAAGGUGGUAAAUAAAGGAACAUGCUAGCUAUCGGCCAUUGAGUUGACAAAGUUUGUCUACGUAAAGCCUCGUUCCUAAGUUAAUUUCAGUUAAUAAGUUGCGAAUAUACCCAAAGAGCAGUAGUUGUUAAUGUAUGUUUAAAAAAACCACCAGGGUAACUGCAUGUGUUUGCCAUACUUGAAGUCUC